UAGGGAAUAUUGCACAAUGGGCGAAAGCCUGAUGCAGCAACGCCGCGUGCGCGACGAAGGCCUUCGGGUCGUAAAGCGCUUUUCGGGGAGACGAGGAAGGACGGUAUCCCCGGAAUAAGGCUCGGCUAACUACGUGCCAGCAGCCGCGGUAAAACGUAGGAGCCAAGCGUUAUCCGAAUUCACUGGGCGUAAAGCGCGUGCAGGCGGCCUGGUAAGUUGGAUGUGAAAGCUCCUGGCUCAACUGGGAGAGGACGUUCAAUACUGUCAGGCUCGAGGGCAGCAGAGGGAGGUGGAAUUCCCGGUGUAGUGGUGAAAUGCGUAGAUAUCGGGAGGAACACCAGUGGCGAAGGCGGCCUCCUGGGCUGCACCUGACGCUCAGAUGCGAAAGCUAGGGGAGCGAACGGG
rnacentral:rRNA from 1 species